rnacentral:rRNA from 1 species
AGAGUUUGAUCCUGGCUCAGGAUGAACGCUAGCUACAGGCUUAACACAUGCAAGUCGAGGGGCAGCAGGACGGUAGCUUGCUACUGUCGCUGGCGACCGGCGCACGGGUGAGUAACGCGUAUCCAACCUUCCCCUGAGUAGGGAAUAGCCCGGCGAAAGUCGGAUUAAUGCCCUAUGCUGUCCGACGAUAGCAUUUGAAUCGGAUGAAAGAUUUAUCGCUCAGGGAUGGGGAUGCGUCUGAUUAGGUUGCAGGCGGGGUAACGGCCCACCUGGCCGACGAUCAGUAGGGGUUCUGAGAGGAAGGUCCCCCACAUUGGAACUGAGACACGGUCCAAACUCCUACGGGAGGCAGCAGUGAGGAAUAUUGGUCAAUGGGCGAGAGCCUGAACCAGCCAAGUAGCGUGCAGGAAGACGGCCCUAUGGGUUGUAAACUGCUUUUGGAGGGGAAUAAAGUGGCGUACGUGUACGCCUUUGUAUGUACCCUCAGAAUAAGGACCGGCUAAUUCCGUGCCAGCAGCCGCGGUAAUACGGAAGGUCCGGGCGUUAUCCGGAUUUAUUGGGUUUAAAGGGAGCGCAGGCCGCCGAUUAAGCGUGACGUGAAAUGUCCCGGCUCAACCGGGGAGUUGCGUCGCGAACUGGUUGGCUUGAGUGCGGACGAGGUAUGCGGAAUUCGUGGUGUAGCGGUGAAAUGCUUAGAUAUCACGAAGAACCCCGAUUGCGAAGGCAGCGUACCAGGCCGUAACUGACGCUAAUGCUCGAAGGUGCGAGUAUCGAACAGGAUUAGAUACCCUGGUAGUCCGCACGGUAAACGAUGGAUGCCCGCUGUUUGCGAUAUAGUGU